rnacentral:lncRNA from 1 species
CCGACUUCGAAUCCUUAGACUAAGGACGUACUAACGUACCCUACAAAAGAAGGAAGAGAAUUGACAGCCUUUGGAAAACCAAUAACGAAAGGAACUUCAAUCGCUAAAACCGAAAUGCCAGGAGAAGAAAGACCACAAUCACCGAUCCCUCGCUUCAAAUACUGGAAGGCAAGGCUUCCAACGAAUCCAAGAUUUCCAACAACGUUAGGCCCUCAACCAAGACAGAUAAAUCUGGAAUUGAAAGGGGCAGGAGAAAGGAAAAACAAAACCUCGAGCGGAAGUCUUAGUACCUUUCUCCGAUUCUCAAACAAAGGAGAUUGGCCUUGAUAUGGCUAAGCCAUAGGGGACAUCGUAUACAAGCAGACUGGACGGAAUGGACCGGCUUGCAACGAAUCCAAAGCAACUGCAACUUCUACGACUGAAAUGGAGGACUUCGAAGACGAUCCGUAAUGGGCUAAAAAAGGGCAACCACAUUCCAUCGCGUAGACUACCAGACUAGAUAGCCCACUUUUUGUCAUAUUAAUAAUAAUAGAUUCCAACAAAUCAAGUAAAAGCAGAUGUAGAUUCACCCUUAGGUUGAGAAAGAAAAAGUCAAGACUUUCGAUGGGGAACGCUUACACAUUCCCUGAGACAGCUUAAAAGACUGUAAAUAGAAACUAAAAGAAAAGCAAUUCGCCCCUCUACCAUUUAUCCCACUAAACAAUAGGGCAAUGGACCAGGAGAUUCGACCAACUCAAGGCUAGGCGAGCAAUUUGAAGAGGUAAGUGAGGGAAAGAAUAAAACUACUGUUCAUUUUCGAAAAGUGACCGAAGGGUUGAUUUCGAAAAUGAACAGUAGUUUUAUAACUAAAGCGAAAAGUGACCGAGAUGCGAGGGGAAAACUUUUGUUUAACAUUUUCGGAAAGACCACCUAUUUGUGUAGUCAGAUAUCUGAAUCGUCGGUCACAGGGACCGACGCGACGUACUCCCACAUG